rnacentral:snoRNA from 1 species
AGUCAAUGAUGUGCUGGCAGGUAUUACCUGAAUUUACUACUAAUGAGUAAUAAUACCUUAACUCUUAGAAUUAUUGAGGCGUU